rnacentral:rRNA from 1 species
GACGAACGAUGGCGGCGGGAGGAACACAUGCAAGUCGAACGGAAAGGCCCUGCUUUUGUGGGGUGCUCGAGUGGCGAACGGGUGAGUAACACGUGAGUAACCUGCCCUUGACUUUGGGAUAACUUCAGGAAACUGGGGCUAAUACCGGAUAGGAGCUCCUGCUGCAUGGUGGGGGUUGGAAAGUUUCGGCGGUUGGGGAUGGACUCGCGGCUUAUCAGCUUGUUGGUGGGGUAGUGGCUUACCAAGGCUUUGACGGGUAGCCGGCCUGAGAGGGUGACCGGCCACAUUGGGACUGAGAUACGGCCCAGACUCCUACGGGAGGCAGCAGUGGGGAAUAUUGCACAAUGGGCGGAAGCCUGAUGCAGCAACGCCGCGUGCGGGAUGACGGCCUUCGGGUUGUAAACCGCUUUCGCCUGUGACGAAGCGUGAGUGACGGUAAUGGGUAAAGAAGCACCGGCUAACUACGUG